GAUGAACGCUGGCGGCGUGCCUAAUACAUGCAAGUCGAGCGAACGGACGCGGAGCUUGCUUCUCUGAUGUUAGCGGCGGACGGGUGAGUCACACGUGGAUAACCUCCCUAUCAGACUGGGAUCACUUCGGGAAACCGGCGCUAAUACCAGAUGAUCUUUUGCACCGCAUGGUUCAAUAGUGAAAGACGGUCUUGCUGUCACUUAUCGCUGGAUCCGCGCUGCAUUAGCUGGUUGGUAAGGUAACGGCUUACCAAGGCAACGAUGCGUGAACGACCUGAGAGAGGGAUAGGCCACACGGGAACUGAGACACGGUCCAGACUCCUACGGGAGGCAGCAGUAGGGAAUCUUCCGCAAUGGGCGAAAGCCUGACGGAGCAACGCCGCGUGAGUGAUGAAGGUCUUCGGAUCGUAAAACUCUGUUAUUAGGGAAGAACAUAUGUGUAAGUAACUGUGCACAGCGUGACGGUACCUAAUCAGAAAGCCACGGCUAACUACGUG
rnacentral:rRNA from 1 species